rnacentral:rRNA from 1 species
UACGUAGGGUGCAAGCGUUAAUCGGAAUUACUGGGCGUAAAGCGUGCGCAGGCGGUUUUGUAAGUCUGAUGUGAAAUCCCCGGGCUCAACCUGGGAAUUGCAUUGGAGACUGCAAGGCUAGAAUCUGGCAGAGGGGGGUAGAAUUCCACGUGUAGCGGUGAAAUGCGUAGAGAUGUGGAGGAACACCGAUGGCGAAGGCAGCCCCCUGGGUCAAGAUUGACGCUCAUGCACGAAAGCGUGGGGAGCAAACAGG